GACGGAGGGGGCUAGCGUUGUUCGGAAUUACUGGGCGUAAAGAGUGCGUAGGCGGUUUAGUAAGUUGGAAGUGAAAGCCCGAGGCUUAACCUCGGAAUUGCUUUCAAAACUACUAAACUAGAGUGUAGUAGGGGAUGAUGGAAUUCCUAGUGUAGAGGUGAAAUUCUUAGAUAUUAGGAGGAACACCGGUGGCGAAGGCGGUCAUCUGGGCUACAACUGACGCUGAUGCACGAAAGCGUGGGGAGCAAACAGG
rnacentral:rRNA from 1 species